rnacentral:rRNA from 1 species
GUGAACCUGCGGAAGGCUCAUUAUCGAAAAGCAAUCCGGGGAGAGGCGACCGAGAGAAGUUUGGUAGAUCGUAGGGAUUGUCGCUGGCCUUUGGACACGAAGGCAUGUGCACGUUCCGAGUUCUCCUUAGUCCUCCUUUGCCUUUCCUUNGGACAACCUUUCUUCACACCCGUGCACCCAUUGUAGGUCUCCGCGAGGGGAUCUAUGUCUUCAUAAAACUCUACGUAUGUCUAGGAAUGUAUCUAAAGCGUCGACCGGCUUGGCUCGAUGCCUGGUCGGCGACGGUAAAGAACGAAAUACAACUUUCAGCAACGGAUCUCUUGGCUCUCGCAUCGAUGAAGAACGCAGCGAAUUGCGAUAAGUAAUGUGAAUUGCAGAUUUUCAGUGAAUCAUCGAAUCUUUGAACGCACCUUGCGCUCCUUGGUAUUCCGAGGAGCAUGCCUGUUUGAGUGUCAUUUAAUUCUCAACCAUUCCUCGAUUUGUUUCGAGGUUUGGCUUGGAUUUUGGGAGCUGCCGGGCGACCCUACGGUCUUCGGCUCUCCUUAAAAGCAUUAGCGAUGGUGGAACGACCUAACUCCAUGCAUGAACGGCCUUCGACGUGAUAAUGAUCGUCGUGGCUGGAGUGCUAGCGGGCGUCNUGAAACCAGCGCUUCUAAAUCUCUCGUCGAAAGAGAAACUCGAAACUUGACUCAAUCAAGUAGGACUACCCGCUGAACUUAAGCAUAU